GACGAACGCUGGCGGCGUGCUUAACACAUGCAAGUCGAACGGAAAGGCCCUGCUUGCAGGGUACUCGAGUGGCGAACGGGUGAGUAACACGUGGGUGAUCUGCCCUGCACUUCGGGAUAAGCCUGGGAAGCUGGGUCUAAUUCCGGAUAGGAGCCAUUUUUAGUGUGAUGGUUGGAAAGUUUUUUCGGUGUAGGAUGAGCUCGCGGCCUAUCAGCUUGUUGGUGGGGUAAUGGCCUACCAAGGCGGCGACGGGUAGCCGGCCUGAGAGGGUGGACGGCCACAUUGGGACUGAGAUACGGCCCAGACUCCGACGGGAGGCAGCAGUGGGGAAUAUUGCACAAUGGGCGCAAGCCUGAUGCAGCGACGCCGCGUGGGGGAUGACGGCCUUCGGGUUGUAAACUCCUUUCGCUAGGGACGAAGCUUUUUGUGACGGUACCUAGAUAAGAAGCACCGGCUAACUACGUG
rnacentral:rRNA from 1 species